rnacentral:rRNA from 1 species
GAUGAACGCUAGCGGCAGGCCUAACACAUGCAAGUCGAGGGGCAGCGAGAUAACAGUUUACUGUUAUUGUCGGCGACCGGCGCACGGGUGCGUAACGCGUAUGCAACCUACCUAUAACAGGGGAAUAAUCGAGAGAAAUUUUGUCUAAUACCCCGUAACACUAGAUAAGGCAUCUUAUCUAGUUGAAAGAUUUAUUGGUUAUAGAUGGGCAUGCGUGACAUUAGUUAGAUGGUGAGGUAACGGCUCACCAUGACUACGAUGUCUAGGGGAACUGAGAGGUUUAUCCCCCACACUGGUACUGAGACACGGACCAGACUCCUACGGGAGGCAGCAGUGAGGAAUAUUGGUCAAUGGACGCAAGUCUGAACCAGCCAUGCCGCGUGCAGGAAGACGGCUCUAUGAGUUGUAAACUGCUUUUGUAAGAGAAUAAAAAGAGUCACGAGUUGAUUAAUUGAAUGUAUCUUACGAAUAAGGAUCGGCUAACUCCGUGCCAGCAGCCGCGGUAAUAC